UACAUGCCUGCUUGUGUCUUGGUCACGUCCUCCUCGUCGUCUGACUUUGAGUGUUCCGCUUUGUUCUCUGUGUUAUGUGGAUUUACUCUUUGUUGGAUUUAUCUCUGUUCUGGAUUCUGCUUUGUUUGGACUUUUUGCCUCAAGCUUCCACAUAAGCCUGUUUAGUUUAUUUGAAUAAACUUUAUUUUGAACUGCAUCCUCCUCUCGCCUUGCCGUUGUCUGCAUUUGGGUCCACACUCCUCAGUUCCCUGCCGCUUCACUCAGCCAGGCCGUGACAGAAACACAGAUAAGCUCCGUGUCGUGGAGGUCCUGCAGAGGGUCGAUGAAGGUGCGUUUGACGUUGACAUCCAGAACGUCCCUGGCCUGAGCAACCUGCUGCAGAGCGUCACCCACAUCAGUCAGAGCGCCGGCUGAACCACCAGAGGACGAGAGGAGGAGGAGGAGGAUGAACAGAGAAAAAAUAAACAUCAACCCAUUUUCCUGUU